ACUUUCCAUUUCCAUAAACAAACAAACAAACCCAAUCCCUUGAUUAACUAACGCAGUUCCCUACUUGUUAGCAAAGUGUAAGAAACAAAUUCAACCUCUCUAGAAAACUCCUCUCCAAAAAUGCAUAACCCCCAUAACCCCACCGCACAUGAUUCCGACCCACAGCUACCACAAAUCAGAAUCCACCACCCUUCCUCACCUCGCCACCAGUCCGCCGCAACACCCACUCCUACCGCCGGUGCCCGCCGUAAAAUCGGUGUAGCCGUUGACCUCUCCGACGAGAGCGCGUACGCUGUACGCUGGGCCGUACAACACUACAUCCGUCCUGGUGAUGCUGUCAUCCUCCUCCACGUCAGCCCUACCAAUGUUCUCUUCGGGGCUGAUUGGGGUUCUAUUGAUCUCUCCAUUAACACCGAUCCAAACUCGGAUGAAGAAGCAAUUAACGUCGUUAACACUACCCCUACCUCCACCACCAACAACAAUAACGAGAUCUCUACGCCUAAGCGGAAGCUUCUUGAAGAAGAUUAUGAUGCUUUCACUGCAACGAAGUCUGCCGAUCUUGCAAAACCGCUUAAGGAUGCUCAGAUUCCUUAUAAGAUCCAUAUUGUGAAAGAUCAUGAUAUGAAAGAGCGUCUUUGUCUUGAGGUUGAGCGUCUUGGUCUCAGUGCUGUUAUUAUGGGGAGUCGUGGAUUUGGUGCGGCUCGUCGUGGUAGUGAUGGAAAGCUUGGAAGUGUUAGUGAUUACUGUGUCCAUCAUUGUGUCUGUCCUGUUGUCGUUGUUCGUUAUCCCGAUGAUGAGGCUAUUGUUGCUGUCAAGGAAGAUGAGGAGGGUGAGGCUGUUAUCAAGCCUGUUGAUGUUUCUCAUCAACAUAAGAAAGGUUAGGGAGGUUUUUCAGUUCUUUCUUUUGAUUGUCAUUAUUUCAAAGGUUUUUAUGUUGAUACAACUAUUUAAUUUGAUUUACUGAUGUUUAUGGUGGUAGCUGUAUCUAUCAAGCACAUACACUCCUUGAAUUAGGUGUGUCCACGUGUGCAAUUUUCUUAAAUUAUCAUCUGUAUCGACGUAUCUGUGCUGUGUCUAUACUUCAUAGAUCACUAUUUUGCUAAUAUUAUUGUUGGAGAUUUUGAUUACAAGUGCAACCCUAUUAGGAAUGAAUUUCGGUUUUGAUCAAGAGUUUGUUAAUGGUUGGGUUGGGAUUGGUGUAAUGGUUCUAGAUAUCUUAGAUUCCAUUCUUUUGUGAACCUUAGAAGAAAAGAGAAAGAAGAACUAGGUUUUACUUAUGCUGGCUUGGUGAUUGAUUGCUUCUGGAGUUGUUGGAUCAAGAGGGCUUUCCAUCUUUGGUUUUUUUGGGUGGAUUGAUUAAGUUCAUAUUUGUUAUUAGUUAUUACUAUUAGUUGUGACAAAUCAAUGUCCACUGUUAUUCAUGAACCUUCCUUGAUAGCUUGUGGACUUUUGAAGUUGGAUUUCACCUUAUCAUUUAUGAUUAUGAAUUGGUUUUAAACUUUAAUUACAAUGCUAAUGAUAUAAUGGUUUGUCAUUUAUGACUGCUCUUUGAUGACUUCUCUUUGAUAUAUUAUGUAUUACGCAAUACACAGCCAAUACUUAUAAACACAUAAUUGUUACAAAAUUAAUCAAAUUACUCAAUUCAUUCAUGAAGUAUUCAUAAUUUAGAAACAAAAGUCAAAAGUCAUAAGCCAAACAUACAUAUAAAUUCUGACAAAAUUCAAGGAGUAUUUUGGUGCCCCGAACAUCAAAGGCUACCUUCAAAAUCAACCUACAGCUCCUUUUAUUCCCGUUUGAUAUUUUUUAACUUUAGUAAUUCUUCCUAAAGUUCUUUUACCGCAGAAAUCACAAGCAACCAUCUUCUUAUCCCUGUCUUUCAAACUAUAUCACUGUCAUGCUGUGUCAAGGUUAUCCCUGCUUGUUUAAAUAUUUGGGCACAAGCACCUGCUGAGCCACUGGUUAAGUUAAUGAUGGUUGAGAAUGAGUAUGAGUUGUCAUGGCUGUUAGAAUGAGAAUAAAGAGGCUUGGAUGACGAUGAUGGUUUACAGUAGAGGGGAAAGUGAAGAGAAAAGAGGGAUCAUAUGUUUUUGGUCACACUGAAGAGAAGAGGUAUAAUAGGGUUUCCUUUUUGUGCCAAAACCCUAAAAUACUCAUGCAACAGUUCAAUUUCAAGGGCUUUUAGGGUUUCAAACACCUCAAACAAUUGCGCUCCUGUAGUUGUGGGAUUAGGAAUUUUAGGAUGUUCCACCAAUGCAAAUAACAACACAAAUCUCAGGCGCAAACAUGGCCAGAACUUCAUUCUGUUUCACAUUGCUAUAUGUGGCGGGCGGAUACCCAUUGUUCCACACCUCCCUAGUGCAAAGCACUGCAAUGUGCCACUAUUGACAACAUAGGUUAAACAUGUGGCUGGAUGUGCUUGUGUGGUGUAGUUUUAUUUAUAUUUCUUGUUUGUUUUGUCAUAUAUAUGGUGUAUCAACUAUGGAAGAUGGACCAAACUGCAUAGAUAGUAUUCUGUUGGCAUUUUGAAGCCCUGCUCAUGUUGAGUUUUUUUAUUCAUUGAGUUAUUUUUUUAUUCUCGAAAGUCAAUUUUAUCUGUAAUUCUGCUUUAUUGGUUUUGUUUUGUUUUUUUGCAUUUUAUCUACAUUGCUUGGAUUGGAUUUUGAUUUGACUUAAUUUGAUAUUAUUCUUGCUGUCUUCUAAUAGAUUAUCAUGCAUUUGACUUAUCAUUUUUCAAUGCAAUUUAGAGUUGUAUCUACAUGUAAUUUCAAUACAUUGGUGAAUAUUUGUUCUUUUACCUGAUUGAUAUACAAUAAUGUUGGUUGUGUGAUUGAAAAUUAACUCCCUAAUUGUUGUUUGGCUUGGUGCAGAAGAUUAAUGGGGAGUCAAUUCAUCAGAUCAACCCUGCCUCUACAGAAUGUACCUGAUCCAUAAGAGAUUGUUGGAAAUUUUUGUAAAGUGAUCUCUUUCUAUUCCUGUCAGGUUGCACUUUAGAGCAUUUUCCUGGAUGUUAACUCUGGAAAGAUUAUGGAUGGUUUUGUAUGGCUUGAUGAUUUUGGUCCUUUAGGCUGUUGUAAUAUUGUGUUUGGUUCCAAACUGGUUAUAUACUCUUUAAUGUAGAUGUACAAAUUUGGCGUUGACUGUUUUUGGGGUUAUUUUCCCAUUCUGUAUGUGGGAGAUUGGAUUAUCUUAAUACUUUUUCAUGUUAUAUUAUUACUACUACUGCUGGAUAAUUAUCAAGAGCUUGCUAUGUUGCUGGUGAUGGAA